rnacentral:tRNA from 1 species
GCCUCGGUGGUUUAGUGGUCAAAACCCUUGCCUCGUAAUCAAGAGGACGUGAGUUCAAUCCCAGCCUAAGUA